rnacentral:tRNA from 1 species
AGCUCUGUAGUGAAGUUCAUGUCAGGUUGCAAACCUGAAGAUGCGGGCUAGCGCCCGCCGGGGCUU